rnacentral:snoRNA from 1 species
CACCUCUCAGGGUCACACCUGGAGAGUUUCCAGUACUCUACCAGUCUCGGCUAAGGGAGGGAGAGUCGAGCAGAGGCAUACCCAUUCCAUUCCCAGCUUGGCCAGUGGCUAGUGAGUGGAAGGCAAUCUACUACAAGU